GCAGAACAGCCAUGGCCGAGUGGUUAAGGCGUCUGACGAGAAAUCAGAUGUGAGCAUCACGCGCAGGUUCGAAUCUUGCUGUCUGCG